rnacentral:misc_RNA from 1 species
CCAAAAUGGGGAUGACAGAAGAUUUUGAAACAUCUUUGCAAGUCUUACGGGGAUUUGAUGUAGACAUUUCUGCUGAAGUGAAUGAAAUCAAGAGAUCCGUAGCAUCAUCAAACAAAAGAACAACAAUACGGUUUGCAGAUCUCAGGCGGAGAAGAUAUUGGUUCCCUUUGAUGGUAGGAAUUGGAUUACUUAUGCUCCAGCAGCUCAGUGGCAUCAAUGGG